GACGAACCGUGCAACCGUUGUUCGGAAUCACUGGGCAUAAAGGGCGCGUAGGCGGCCCGACCAGUCUGCGGUGAAAGCCCCCCGCUCAACGGGGGAAGGGCCGUGGAUACUGUCGGGCUCGAGGGAGACAGGGGCAGGUGGAACUUCCGGUGGAGCGGUGAAAUGCGUUGAGAUCGGAAGGAACUCCGGUGGCGAAGGCGGCAUCCUGGACCGACACUGACGCUGAGGAGCGAAAGCCAGGGGAGCAAACGGG
rnacentral:rRNA from 1 species